AACAAUUCUCAGUGACAAUAUCUCCACUUUUGCAUCACAGAAAAAUAUAGUGAAAUGUGAUACUUGGUGUGAAUUGUAGAAUCUCGUGAACCAUUGAGUCUUCGAAUGCAAGUUACACCCCAAGCCAUUAGGCCAAUGGCACGCCUGCUUAGGUGCCUUGCGUCAUUGCCCCCAACCCCCCGCCCAUCAGGCUUUGAGUGAAGGGGGUGAAAGAUGGCCUCUCAUGACCUCAUCAGUCAUGGUUGGCCCAAAAGUGAGUCCUUGGCAAUGAUAACACUAUGAUCGUAAGUGGUAAAGCUCAAUGCAUGCCUUGUCUUCAAUGACACAUGCUCGUUGUCCAUUCGAACCCCAUCAAAUUUGCCACAUCACUUGAUCGAUGCUUGCAUCAUGACCCUAGGUUAGGUGGGAUUGCCUAUUGAGUUUAAGCUUAUCAAUAAGUGAAGGAAAAGAAACUUACCAAGAUUCCCUUAGUAAUGACAAGUGAAUCAGAAAGAGCCCAACUUGAGAAUCACCCAUCUCCAACAUCCAAAUUAUUGUCUGGAGAAGCAUCCUCAAUGACAGAUCAGGCCUAAGGCCAUUAGAAAAGGGCAUCAGAGAGGGUGAGAGCCUUAUUGGGCAUUGACCCUAUUAUGUCACAAAAAGCUAUCUAUGAGUUAGGUUGUUUGGGAAUGCAAUCCCAAUCAAGCGAUAAAUUCUAUCCAAGGUUAAAAAUAGACGAGAGAUCAAUAGCGAUCAAGUAUCACAAGGGAAAGAUGGAAAGGACUUUGAAAAAAGAGUCAAAGAGUACUUGAAAUUAUCAAAAGGGAAAUAGAUAAGGGCUGACGAUGCAUCCCAGUCAAAUGUGGAAUAGAAAAAGCUGGUCCACUGAUUGGCUCAGGCCAUGGAUCGAUGAGGGUCACAAUGGCAACCCAUGCCUUGGCUUUCAAUAUGCCCAUAGAGAUGUCACCAUCAUAGUUGAGGAAUGUAGCAUGUGCCAUCCUGUGUGCUUCCGACGUUGGCUUGCAAGCUCCAAUUCCAGCCUUUCUUAAAACACAAACCAAAGAGUUUGACAUAUGUAUGAGUCAACAGGCUAGGAAACCUAUAAGGUCCAAGGAAGCUGAUUGGUGGGAUCCCUCAUGGGUGCACCAUUGACUGACCUUGAUUUUCUAAGAAGGGUUCAAAUGUGAGCAGGCCUGUUGGGACCCAAAAAAAGGUGAACUAUGCUUGAGUGGGGCAAAGCCAAAGGAAAUAUUGAUGGAGGCUUGCAACAAUAUUAACGUGUAAAUCAUUCUUCUUAUUUGGGUAUUAAGGUAAAAGACAAAUUAAACCAUCUAGUAGCUGGUUCCCUCCAAAGUUUCUCUUAGGAUAGCCAAAGCCCUCAGCAAGUUAUAUUAGGUAAAGCCAAUGAUUAGAGGCAUCAAGGGCACAACACCCUCGACCUAUUCUAAAACUUAAAAUAAGUAGGAUGGUGUGACUACAUCAUUGAGCUGCACCACAAAAUCGAGAGCUCCAAGCGGGCCAUUUUUGGUAAACAAAAUUGGUAAUGCAAGAUGAGUGGAAAGUAGGGUUAUGGUGCCCAACUCCUAGAACCCAUAAAGGGUGUUGGUCGAUUAAGAUAGACAAUGGCCAUGAAGUCAAAAUUCUCUAAGAAGUGUGUAACAACUCACCUGGUGAAUCAACUAGCCUUGAAAAUUGAUGGUGCUUAAGUGCGUGACCUAUAACUGACCGUCGGGGCAAAGGCCAAGCCUUCAUAAGUAGAAAGGCAAGUGGUCAUUACAAAACAUGGGGCGUGAGCCCAAACAAAGUGGUUAUCGGUGUUGAUCUUAGUGGUAGUAGCAAAUAUUCAAAUGAGAACUUUGAAGGUCGAAGAAAGGAAAGGUUCCAUAUGAACGGCACUUGCACAUGGGUUCGCCAAUCCUAAGAGAUGAGGGAAGCUAGUCUGAUAGUGCAUCCAGCAUGAGCUUUGAAAUGGAAUUAGGUUAAAAUUCCUAAACUGGGACACGACAGUUGAUAGCAACUAUAGGGAGUUUGGAGACAUCAAAAAGGGCCUCAGGAAGAGUUAUCUUUUCUAUUUAAAGGCCUGCCCACCUUGGAAAUGACUUAACUAAAGAUUGGGUCCAGCUAUCGAAAGAGCACUGCAUGUCAUGUGGUGUCUAGUGCAACCAUGAUGGCUUUUGAAAAUCCAAAGGAUUCAAUGCCAUCUAUGCCCAGUCGCACUAAUAACCAUAACAGGUCUUCAAGGUGAAUAGCCUUUAGUCGAUGGAAUAAUGUAGGCAAGGUGAAUAGCCUUUAGUCGAUGGAACAAUGUAGGCAAGGUGAAUAUGAGCUAGGUUUAGACCAUCAUGAGACAGGUUAGUUUUACCCUCUUGAUUCUAGCGUUGUAAUUGUAAUUCAACCUAGGACAAGAGAAACCAUUGAUUCACACAAUUGGUCAUCGCACGUGUUUUAAAAGCCAGUAGCAUGAAGCCACUCUAUGCUGGAUUAUGACUAAACACCUUUAAGUUAGAAUUUGGGCUAGAAGCAAUGCACAUGACCACUGCUCAAUUGUCAACUCACGAUAAGGGCCUAUGGCCCUCAAUGGCACUUGUCAUAGGUGUAACCCUCAUGGUGGACAAGCCGCGCGAGCUUCCUUGGAGCAUAAUUCCCACCGAGUGAUGGAUAGAAUUUUUUACAAUCAACUUAUAUAUGAGAUAGGGUAUUGUAAGUGGUAGAGUGGCCUUGUUGCCAUGAUCCACUAAGAUUCAGCCCUCUAUCACUUCAAUUCAUUCUUCUCCCUCCCAUACCCAUCUAAGCCCUUUGACUUUAUUUUUUUUACACCACACCCAUCUUAUGUUGGUGGUCAAUGGUGUUCUCCAUUGCAAUUGAUUCGAUUGGGUGAUGACAUCCAUCCCUUAGGUGUCUCAAUAAAUGGUAACCAAAUGCCUUUGGUAUUAGUUAUAGUGACAGGCUCACCUUUGGUGCAGGUGGCACGCCCUGGGUGGGUGUACCACACGCAUAGUUCUAAGCACUAAGAACCAAGGCUUGAGCACUAGGGACAAUUGUGGGGGUUGGCACAAUAAGCAUGGGAGAAAUGUCUAGACUUCUUACAUAGCCAAGACCAGGCUUGCAACAUGCCUGCACUAUACCUAGGUGGACUGAGGGGAGCUUGGCCAAUCCAAAAUCUUCCAAAGGCAUCUAGGAUCGAUAGUAUUCAGUAGGAAGAUUUGGUUGACCCUAGAAAUUAGGAGGAGCCUUAUGUAAUAUGUGUAAUAAUGUGCAAUCCUUGAUUUUUCAUAAUCUUAUAAAUCUUUUAAUUUUAGAAGAUAGCUAUAAGUAGAGUUGGGGGCCUCAACUAUAAAUAAAAGGUCACCCCACCCUCAUUUGUCAAUCAUCACAUCAUU
rnacentral:rRNA from 1 species